GAGGGUUUAAUUCUGGCUCUAGAGUUCAAAGCUAGGCGAACUACAUGGAAGUUUUUGUGGGGUGCACUUUAAAUAAGUAAACUAAGUACCCAGUAGUUAUCUUUAGGGAUUUAGCUAAUCUAGCCCAAGACCCCUACUAACUAAUAUAGUGCCAGCAGUUGCGGUUAUACUUUAAGUAAAGAACUAUUUUUAAGGGGAGUGGCAUUUCAACUCUGCCGGAUAAGAGGUCUAAUUCCAGUUCGAGCAGUUGCUUAUUAGAAGCUCAAACCCAGGGUAAGAGACAAGGAUUAGCUACCCUUUUAUCCCCUGGAUUAUAUCCCCCAGGGGUAGUAAUUAUUAUAAUAUAAAACCUAAAGGAUUUGGCGGCACCUGAGCUUACUAGAGGAACCUGCUCUGUAAUCGAAAGUACACGCGGGACCGUGCCUGCUCUGAGUUUGUAUACCGCCGUCUAAACAAACCUGGAAAGGUGGGUUGACCCUAUGUGGUAAAAAAGUCAGGUCAAGGUACAGCGCAUGGGCAGGGCAGGGUGGGUUACAUUUAGAAAACUACUGGAGUUUCCAUGAAAAUAGAGAUGAAACAGGAUUUGGUAGUAACCCGGGUAAACUACCUGUUUGAAAAAGUUAGCAGGUGAGUACAUAUUGCCCGUCACUCUCACAAAGUGAGAUAAGUCGUAACAUAGUAAAAGUAUCGGAAGCUGCUUUUUUGUAUUCUUGCAAAAG
rnacentral:rRNA from 1 species